UGUAGAUUAAAUACAACCACAAGACAAUACCAUGCAGAAAUUAAAGAGGAACCCUUUAUAUCUCUGGUUCAUGCAUCAAAAAAGUAAUAACAAAGUUAUGGAUUCCUCUUUAGGAUACUCUGACAACAGUGAUGACAAGGGAAAUAACAAUGCUCCAAUGCCCUCUUCGGUGUCCUCUGGCCACAAUAUCGACAAUAG